rnacentral:rRNA from 1 species
GGCUACCACAUCCAAGGAAGGCAGCAGGCGCGCAAAUUACCCAAUCCCGACACGGGGAGGUAGUGACAAUAAAUAACAAUAUAGGGCGCCUUUGGGUCUUGUAAUUGGAAUGAGUACAAUUUAAAUCCCUUAACGAGGAUCAAUUGGAGGGCAAGUCUGGUGCCAGCAGCCGCGGUAAUUCCAGCUCCAAUAGCGUAUAUUAAAGUUGUUGCAGUUAAAAAGCUCGUAGUUGAACCUUCAGGCCUGGUUGGGCGGUCUGCCUCACGGUAUGUACUGUCCGACCGGGUCUUACCUCUUGGUGAGCCGGCAUGCUCUUAACUGGGUGUGUCGGGGAACCAGGACUUUUACUUUGAGAAAAUUAGAGUGUUCAAAGCAGGCCUAUGCCCGAAUACAUUAGCAUGGAAUAAUAAAAUAGGACGUGCGGUUCUAUUUUGUUGGUUUCUAGAGUCGCCGUAAUGAUUAAUAGGGAUAGUUGGGGGCAUUAGU